AAAGAUUUAUAGUUUAUAAUUUAUGGUUUAGUGUUUUAUUGACAAUAUUAAAAAAAAAAAAUUUUGCAACUACUAUUAUUUUUAUUUAUGUUUACAUUUUUUAUUUUAAAAAUAUAAUACAAUUUGACAAUAUUUAAAAAAAAAAAAAAUUAUUGAAUAUGAAAUAACGAAAUCUUAUUGGUUGGUGAACAUACAUGUUCACUCUAACUCUAGGGGAUGAACUCUAGAGAAUGAACUUAAGAAUAACUCAAAAAAACCCUUGUCUAGUUUAAGAAGAUAAAACAUAUUCGGAUAUUCCUUAUAAGGUUAAAAAGAAGACAAUAAACCCUUUUACAUAAAGUUCAUACUUUCAUUUUAUCCAAGUCACUCUCUCAACGGGUAAAGGAUAAAGAAACGGGUCGGGUAGGGACCCAGCAAGACAGUAACGGGUCGGGUAAGGACCCAGUAAGACAGUAACGAUGACGAGCAGACGAAGAAGAGGGAGUUAGUUGGGAUAUUUAAUUGCUUUUGUCUCCUUUUUCCUGACUUUAUUUCAUUUCUCUAUCGUCUUUGCUUGCCCACGAGCGAAUCUUCUUGUCUCCGAUCCAUUUCUUCUUUUCUCCUCCUCUUUUGAAUGUACACACAAAGAUUAGUUUUUUUACCUUCUAAAAAAAAUUAGCUUUAACCAUGUUUCAAAAAAAGAUUAGCUUUUAACCUAAUUUCUAGAUAAAAUAAUGAAAUUACUUUUAGAGAUGUUUUGAGCUGAUCAUACCUAGUUUUUGGAGUUGAAAACUUGAAAUAAUAUCAAACUCUAUUCUGUAUUUUUCAUUCCAAAAUAAGUUUGAAAUAAACUCUUUUUCAAUCUAAUAUCUCAUUCUUUCUAUUUUAUUAUAAUGGAGUAAAAAUCAGAUUGUUUCAAAAAUAGAGCAAUACAUUUUUUACUCAUUAUUCUAUUUUUUUCAAAAUAAAAUAUAAUUGGAGUAAAAAUCAACUAGAAAGUUACUCUAUUUUGGAGAAAAAAAAUGUAAUAAUACAUUGAAGGUGUUUUUAGUUUUUUUUUUUUUUUUGCUAAAAGAUAUAUGUUUUUAGUAUGCUCCCAAGUUAUAAACUGGUAUUCUCUUGCUAAUAGUACACGUUAGCACGUUUGACUGUAAUCCACACAAAAUAACGUUCCGGACCAGAGAGGCAUAUUGUCUGAAGAACGCAGACACAAUUCUGCAAAAUUGGAUCUCAUUUAAUGACUUGUAUAUACCUCAAUAGGCAAUAGCUGUACUGGUGUACAUGCAAUUCAAUGGUGUUUAGUUAUAAGUUGAACAAAAAUCCGGUUUCCUAUAAAUCAAAUAAUUAGUUUGAUUUCUGGUACAAGAUCCAUGUUAAAAAUUAAGAUUGAUGAAACACCUAUCAGAUUUAUAUAUACUUGUUUGAUCUCUAAUUUAUGAUACAUAGGUUUUAUGUAUGUUAAAUAUUCAUCAGAUGUUUUAACUAAAGGAAAAAGUAUUCAUUCGAUGGCUUGAUUGAUCUUUGAUGAGGAUAUGUUAGAUCCGUUUGUGAAUUGUGAUGAUAAGUGGAUGUCACUAUGGAGACAACUUGGACGUGCGACAACACGAUGAGGGAGAGACAAGUAUGACUCUUCAACAAGUAAGACUAAUACCACUUUAACCACUAACGUUAUUUCAAUGCGUUUAUUAGAAGAAACACUUUUUUUUUUUCUUAAAAAGUAAAGUAAUUGUAAUUGACAAACUAUGGACUGUGGCGAUCCAAAUGAACCAACCUUCGAAAAUAAACUAACUUGCGGAAAGCUACUCUAAGCAUUUUGACCAAAAAACUUGCUCUCGUUUACACGUUUUCGUUGGAGUCCAAAGGGAUAUUUUCAAAGUUAUUGCAAAAGAUUUUUAUCUGAUAACAAAAACUAAAGGUAAUUAGCAUAAAAAUAUAAAAAGCAAAUUAAUGAGUUUGUCAGCUAAUUAAGAUGUCGUCAUAUGUUUUUUCUAUACAGAAAUCAAGAGAAAUAAUCUGUUUUGAAAAUUCAUCUUUUUGUCUAAAAUAGAUUAUUCUAUAAAAAUACAAUUUGAUAUUGUUUAACAUUUUUACCUCCAAAAAAUUUACCCAUUCUCUUUCAAUAUUUUUUCACAUAGUUUUUUUCUAUAUACGUAUAUCAGGUUAUUGAUGUGGUGAAAAGAACUUGUUCUCGUCCAUUAUAAAAUUAUGUAACAAAUUAGCUCUGGCGAAUUAAAAAAAAUUGAUUUUCUUUUGCUUUAAGCUUGGAAUUUAUAUUUGAUUAUUUAGGGGAAUAUAAAUAAAAAAACAAUUGAAUUUAAAAAAAAAACAAUUGAAUGCUAUAUUUGUCUCUAUAAAUAGAGGAAUGCUAUUUUUUCCUCUAUAUUUAGGGAAAAAAAUAGCAUUCUCCUAUUUAUAGAGGUAAAUAUAGCAUUCCUCUAUUAUAGAUGAAGACAUUGGAGCAAAAACACUAUUUCUAUUUUUCUCUCUAUUUUAAAGAUCUUUAUUAUAGAGAUGGGUUGGAGAUGCUUUUAAAGCCGAUAUAAAGCCUAUGUUACUUGUUAUAGAUUCACAUGAUUUUACGGUAAUGGGGGAAUUAAAUUUCUACUCAAAUUUAUUUAUUUUUGGUUACUAAUGAUUAUUCAAAAACUUGUUCUGUUAGGUAAAUCAAUAAAAAUCAUUCAAUUAUCUUGAAGAAAGGAGAAGUUAAAACCUUCUUUUUUUCUUUUCCUACUAUGCAAUUAGUGUUUCUUGCAACAUUUUUGUGGGUUGGCUUUUUGCAUGCGAGAUCUUUCUAUAUGUCCAAAACAUAUACUGAUUUCGUAUUUCCUUAUUUUGUUUUUAUUCAUCUCAAUUGCUUUUUCUUGGCAUGCAUGCAUUGAUUAAUUAUGGAAACAUCCACUACAUUUGACAUGAAAUUUGGUGGGAUUGCUUCUUAGAGAUAUUCCGACACGUCUAAACCACUAAUAUAAUUGUCAUAAUACGAUUUAUAUAGUCUUACUCUGUAACACCAAAAUUUCCAACAAAGGAUUGCGAUUUCCACCUUAAACAUGAUCAUUUUAUCUAGUCACGCUUUUGUGCUACAUAAGCUAUAUUUUUCUAUCCAAUUAAUGUAUCUUAAUAUUUUCUUAAAUUCCGUUAAGUAUUCAUAUAAUUAGUGCAAAAAGAUAGAUGCAAAUAUAAAACAUUCGUAUAGUUUAUUUACAAUUGCUUUUUACAUGUCUUCAUUUUUCAUUGCUAUCUUCCUCCGCUAGUUUUCCUUGUUCACGUAUGUGACUUGGUCAAAAAAUUAUAAGAUAGAUAACUUGCGUCUUUUCAACAUUUGACAUCAUAAGCUCCAACGAAGAAAGGAAAGAAAAAGAUUUUGCUAACAGUUAAAAGUACCAAUUAUAAUUCAUUAAUUUGCAUGCUUUUUCACUGUUUUCGUUCCAUAAAUAUAAGGCUGUGAUACAAUACUAGGCUACUAGCCUAUAAUAAAUAGAUUCAACCACAUUGAUUUUUUUUUAAUGAUUGAAAACGUAAUCGACUUUUGUAAAAGUAGCAGUGAAUUUGUAUCGUUAUAAACUAGGAUAGCUGGAAUAAUCUGGAUCAAGUUUAUUUCUAAUCUCUCCUAUUAUAUUUAGGUUAUCUAUGUUUUGCCAAAAAGUUUUAAUAAUUCCGAAAGCGAGUAGAAAAUCUAACUCUAGACAGUAACGAAUUUAAACCAAUUGUCUUCUAACCAAGACUAUCGCCCCCAUGGGCGGAUCUAGCAGCUAUAAUAAUAUGGGGUCAAUAUAUUAUAUAGCAAAACUAUAGUUGUUAGAGUUGAUUUUCAACUAGAGGUGCAUGGGGCAACAAAGAUUAACCAUCUGAAUUUCUAGGUUUUUUUCAACAGAACUAAUGAAAAAUAAAAAUUAUGUAUGUGACACUUGCCCCACCCAGUAACUUCCGUCCCUGAUCGCCCCUUCAUCAGAUGCGAGUUUCUCUCCUUAUACUGGUAAUGUUCGUUUGCAUGUCUCAGUGACCUUCGACUGCAAUUUGCGAUCAGUCAUAGAUUACAUGUCACAUGGUAAAUUGUUUGUUUUACUAUCAUACAAUUGAUUGUGCAAUCAAAUCACAUGUUGCCGUCGCAAAUCACAAAACUUACGAUAGAAAAACGAACAAUAUUUUGAUCGUAGGUCGCUGCGACAUGCAAAUGAACAGAAUCAUUAAUUUAGUAGUCUAUUGAAAAUUACACUACUUUAUUUCUAUUUCUUGAUUUUUGAAAAAUGAUUUUCACCUUUAUUUCAUAAUUUCUGUUAUAUAUUAUAAUUAUUAGUCUUAUUAUUUCAAAAGGGCUACCUGUUUUAAAGCCGAUUUGAAAAUAAGAUUCUAUUUUUAUCCCUAUUAUUUUACUUCAUGAAUUGGAUAAAUAAAGUCACAAGUGCUAAUAAGUGUUUUAUAGAAACAUAAGCAUGUGAUGAGUUCAAAAAAAAAAAGAGUUCGAAAAAAAAGAAACAUAAGCAUGUUUGGUAAAAAAAAUUAGAAAAAUAAACGAUAUUUAUAAUGAAACGGAUAUAGUAUCACAUAUUUGAUGAGUAUAUGUCCAUAUACAAAAUCCUAAAAUUUAGUUAUUCCAUAUCAACUAAAAUAUAAUGAUGUAGCUCUUUCGAGUUAAACACUCAAAGUGAU